rnacentral:misc_RNA from 1 species
ACAUUUUUGGAGCGGCCUUCGGGCCCGUCCUCCAUAAACCCACCUCUGUGUACCUUCUCCUGUUGCUUCCGCGGGACAUCGGGGUUCGGCCCCGGACGUCGGCGAGGAGGCUCUCCUUCUCGGGAGGGUUCUUCCGAGCCCGGCGGAGCGCCCGCGGGAGGUUAAUCAGAAACCAUUUUGCAACCCAUAGCUUCUGUCUGAAUGAAUAAACAUAAAAGUU